ACUCCUCCCACUAGCU
rnacentral:tRNA from 1 species